UUCGAGCAGUCGCUGAAAGUCGUCGAUCCAAAGUCUUUCGCCUAAGAUAUCGCGGAAAAGAUAGUCGACUCCAAGUUCUCACAGCGAUCUGUCUACUCGUAUCGCACGGCCUGAAUAGCUAAUCGCACACGUAUUGAAUUUAAGUGCGGGUAUAUUAUUCUUAAGUUCCUUAUUGUUCGAGAGGUCCGUCAACUGCCGAUCGUGCUCCGCUCGCGACCAUUCUUCUGCCACGCGUUCAAGUUCAAGAUCUCCGCUCGUCGCGGAGAUUUCCGUGCCGCGUGAAGCUUCAAGGACGAGGCUUUCUCAAGAUCUCCGUACGCGAUAUCUUAGGCAGCGAGAAAGGACGGAUUAGAAGAUCUCCGUAUUCGCGGUGCAGGAUUCGUCGUUCCCCCUCGAGGUGCUAAUAAAAGGCAAUUGUGCAAAUCUGUGUUUUACGAGUGCUUUCCACCACCUCUCCCUCCCGCGAGUAGGGAUUCGUGCUACACACGCUUCGCGCUGUAGCUCAGGACGACAAUUCGAAGCCCGAACAAUAAUUAGUCGACAAAGUAAGGAGGCGGAAGGUGUGCGAAGGUGCAGCUAGUGCAACAGGUGCAGCAUCGGCGGGUGCGGGGCGGGUGGAGCGUGAAGUCGGCCGCGCAAUUUUCGGGGACUCUCUCCCAGAUUCGUCCGUUACGUUAAUCUACGAGACGCGAUCGUCGAGCGGCCCGUACAUACGUACACAUACGUAUUAUACUCGUGUUAUUCUAUUCCCGUCGCAACAAAACGACGCGUCGGAUACAGUGAUGUCGAUUUAAGACGCGAAUCACGGAUUUUUUUCCCUCCCCUACAGAGCAUCUUGUGCGUGUAGUCUGGCGUCAGUGGUCGAGUGUGCCGUUGAAAAGUGUUGCGAUCCGCCACAGCAUAGACACGUAGGUAUGUUCACUCCGUGUCGGCGCCUUUGAGCUGAAGUGAAAUGGUCGGUCGUGAUAUUUGUGAAAAUCGUAUGAUCGUAUGUCUGUCCUUCUUCGACGUUCAUGGAAAAGGACAGACAUACGAUCUCUCUCUCUCUCUCCUUCUCCGUUUCAUUGACCGCCAUAUUGUUGAGUGUGCGGAACCAUUUCAGUCAUUUCACGGGUUUCGGCGGGAGGGGCGGGAGUGUACAUACUGUAUCUACUUAUACUGGGAGCUUCCCAGAAGCGAUCCAAGUCGACACAAGUGUCGUUUUGCCUUCGUUCCUCAUUGCUAACAAAGAAAGAUAGAACGACGUUUGUGUUGACUUGUGUCGCUUGCUGGAAAGCUCCCAUCGCGGCAUCGUGACUCGCGUCGGAUUCCAACGGUUAAUUCGCGCGCGAUUACAACCUCGCCGCGAAGAAUGCUGUGCCCCACGGAGGAGCGGCAUCGGGAUCGUCCUCGGUCAGUGGUCUCGGGUGUGCCGUGAAAAGUGUUGCGACUCCGCGUUCUAUUCCGAUGGUUAAUUCGCGCGCGAUUAACCUCGCCGCGAAGAGUGUGUGCGUCACGGAGGAGCAGCAUCGGGAUCGUCCUCAGUCAGCGGUCGGGUGUGCCGUGAAAAGUCGGGAAUGCCGUGAAAAGUGUCGCGACUCCGCGUGGUAUUCCGAUGGUUAAUUCGCGCGCGAUUAACCUCGCCGCGAAGAGUGUGUGCGUCACGGAGGAGCAGCAUCGACGGGAGCUGAGAGCUGAGAGGAGGAGGAGGCCCGGGGAGGCAUCAGGCGUCGGCGAAUCAACCCAAGGAUCAACGUCUACAAUUUCGCUGCUGCGCAUCGUGUGUCUGUGAGUAAAAUUAUUUGAUUUCUUUUUAUUUGAUUAUUUGAGUUCUUUGAUUUCUGUAGAAUUGGCCACUGAUUUAAAAUUUGUUUCAAGGAUUUAUUAUUGUUCAUUGCCAUUCUUAUAGUUGAAUAGGAAUCUUCUAAAUGUUUAUAGAAACUCUCAUCUGUUUCAUUUAUUGUAUUCAAGGAAGUUUUUAAAUUGUCCUUAUUCAAAAUCGCUUCGUUAGGUUGUGGGUCCCAAUUACAACAGCCGCUUGUAAUGUUUGCCAUUUUUUUUUAUUGUUUUCCUGGAAUUUUUCCAGCUGUGAUGGAUUUUCGUUUGAACGGCCUAUUUAAAUAAUUGUUACGUUUAAUGAGUUUCAUUGUUAAGGUAAAGCAUCCAUCUCCUGUAACGACGUUGUCAGAAUCGAUGUCUUUGAAUAUUGGAUAUCGCUCACGUAACUUAUUAGCUAUAAUUUUAAAAGCACUCAUUGGAAUUUUGGUCUUAAUAUUGCGCAUUUCAUCUACAAUAGUAUGUACAACUUGUGUUUGGAUACGUCUACGUCGUUCAAGUCAUGUCUUAGCAGCUUCGCCGUCAGUUUCUAAAAUCUCUAAAGGUACUGGUUUAUCAAUUUCAUCUUUUACAUCAUUGGUAAAUUUUUCAAACGGUAUCUUUCCAAAUAAUUUCAUAAUUUGUUUGUAAAUUAUUUGAUGGCUCGUAGGUAGGAGCAUCGGUACACUGAGAGAAAUGUCUGGUGACGCUAUCCAGAAUUCAGGAU